rnacentral:tRNA from 1 species
GCGCUCGUAGCUUAACGGAUAAAGCGUCGGCCUCCGGAGCCGAAGAUUGCGCGUUCAAUUCGCGCCGGGCGUA